rnacentral:tRNA from 1 species
UUAGAUGGGUUUUAACAAAUCCCAUAAACA